rnacentral:lncRNA from 1 species
AUCCACCCAACAUUCAAUGUUAGCUCUGGACCAAUUAAGCCAGACCUUCCCCCUCCAUUUAGUGAGAUUAUGCUUAUAAAUGUCCCAUGUUGAUUGCUCUUUCUACUGCAAAAAGGUCUGACUCCUUUUCUGAAAAUCUCCAUCUCCUAAUCUCUUGAUCUCCUUCUGAUCUUUUGAUGCUUCUUUCAUACAAAAGCAUAUCCAAUCCGUAGCUUUUCUGCUCACAGUGGACCUUCACAUCAUCUUCCUACUCCUUUCUACCCAUUCAGACUUGCCAUUUCCCACCUUGCAAUAUCGAAUGACCUAAACCCUGCGUUGAAAUAGAUCCUAUUGUCCUCCAUCCUUAAAAAUAGGGUUUCUGGUUGAGAGAAAUGCUCAAAGGAGGGGAAAAGUAAGAGAGUAACCACAGAAGGUGAUAACUCAGGGAGGUGAGN